rnacentral:rRNA from 1 species
GAUGAACGCUGGCGGCGUGCCUAAUACAUGCAAGUCGAGCGAAUGGAUUAAGAGCUUGCUCUUAUGAAGUUAGCGGCGGACGGGUGAGUAACACGUGGGUAACCUGCCCAUAAGACUGGGAUAACUCCGGGAAACCGGGGCUAAUACCGGAUAACAUUUUGAACCGCAUGGUUCGAAAUUGAAAGGCGGCUUCGGCUGUCACUUAUGGAUGGACCCGCGUCGCAUUAGCUAGUUGGUGAGGUAACGGCUCACCAAGGCAACGAUGCGUAGCCGACCUGAGAGGGUGAUCGGCCACACUGGGACUGGAACACGGCCCAGACUCCUACGGGGGGCAGCAGUAGGGAAUCUUCCGCAAUGGACGAAAGUCUGACGGAGCAACGCCGCGUGAGUGAUGAAGGCUUUCGGGUCGUAAAACUCUGUUGUUAGGGAAGAACAAGUGCUAGUUGAAUAAGCUGGCACCUUGACGGUACCUAACCAGAAAGCCACGGCUAACUACGUGCCAGCAGCCGCCGUAA